AGGGAAGAAGCGGGGCAUUGUGGGAAGCGCCCGCGCUUUCGGCGGGUUCCGUUAAAAUGGCGCCCUGGUGGCCGGCGGCGCCCGCGCCUUAGCCUGUCAGGAGCCGAGAGCUUGCGGGGCGCAAGGAGGGCGCGGGCCGCGGGCCGCGGUCCCUGCGCGUGCGGCGGCGGCUCUGCCCGGACCCCCGUGCACGGUUCCGGGCGAGGAUGGCGACCCCGGACCAGAAGUCGCCGAACGUUCUGCUUCAGAACCUGUGCUGCAGGAUUCUGGGCAGGAGCGAAGCUGAUGUAGCCCAGCAGUUCCAAUAUGCUGUGCGGGUGAUUGGCAGCAACUUCGCCCCAACUGUUGAAAGAGAUGAGUUUCUAGUAGCUGAAAAAAUCAAGAAAGAGCUUAUUCGACAACGAAGAGAAGCAGAUGCUGCUGCAUUUUCAGAACUCCACAGAAAACUUCAUUCACAGGGAGUUUUGAAAAAUAAAUGGUCAAUACUCUACCUCUUGCUGAGCCUCAGUGAGGACCCACGCAGGCAGCCAAGCAAGGUUUCUAGCUAUGCUACGUUAUUUGCUCAGGCCUUACCAAGAGAUGCCCACUCAACCCCUUACUACUAUGCCAGGCCUCAGACCCUUCCCCUGAGCUACCAGGAUCGGAGUGCCCAGUCAGCCCAGAGCUCCGGCAGCGUGGGCAGCAGUGGCAUCAGCAGUAUCGGCCUGUGUGCCCUCAGUGGCCCUGCACCUGCGCCACAAUCUCUCCUCCCAGGGCAGUCUCAUCAAGCUUCGGGAGUAGGAGAUUGCCUUCGACAGCAGUUGGGGUCACGACUUGCAUGGACUUUAACUGCAAAUCAGCCUUCUUCACAAGCCACUACCUCAAAAGGUGUCCCCAGUGCUGUGUCUCGCAACAUGACAAGGUCCAGGAGAGAAGGGGAUACGGGUGGUACUAUGGAAAUUACAGAAGCAGCUCUGGUAAGGGACAUUUUGUACGUCUUUCAGGGCAUAGAUGGCAAAAACAUCAAAAUGAACAACACUGAAAAUUGUUACAAAGUAGAAGGAAAGGCAAAUCUAAGUAGGUCUUUGAGAGACACAGCAGUCAGGCUCUCUGAGUUGGGAUGGUUGCAUAAUAAAAUCAGAAGAUACACGGACCAGAGGAGCCUGGACCGCUCAUUCGGACUUGUCGGGCAGAGCUUUUGUGCUGCCUUGCACCAGGAACUCAGAGAAUACUAUCGAUUGCUCUCUGUUUUACAUUCUCAGCUACAACUAGAGGAUGACCAGGGUGUGAAUUUGGGACUUGAGAGUAGUUUAACACUUCGGCGCCUCCUGGUUUGGACCUAUGAUCCCAAAAUACGACUGAAGACCCUUGCGGCCCUGGUGGACCACUGCCAAGGAAGGAAAGGAGGUGAGCUGGCCUCAGCUGUCCACGCCUACACAAAAACAGGAGACCCGUACAUGCGGUCUCUGGUGCAGCACAUCCUCAGCCUCGUGUCUCAUCCUGUUCUGAGCUUCCUGUACCGCUGGAUAUAUGAUGGGGAGCUUGAGGACACUUACCACGAAUUUUUUGUAGCAUCAGAUCCAACAGUUAAGACAGAUCGACUGUGGCACGACAAGUAUACUUUGAGGAAAUCGAUGAUUCCUUCGUUUAUUACGAUGGAUCAGUCUAGGAAGGUCCUUUUGAUAGGAAAAUCAAUAAAUUUCUUGCACCAAGUUUGUCAUGAUCAGACUCCCACUACAAAGAUGAUAGCUGUGACCAAGUCUGCAGAGUCACCCCAGGACGCUGCAGACCUAUUCACAGACUUAGAAAAUGCAUUUCAGGGGAAGAUUGAUGCUGCUUAUUUUGAGACCAGCAAAUACCUGUUGGAUGUUCUCAAUAAAAAGUACAGCUUGCUGGACCACAUGCAGGCAAUGAGGCGGUACCUGCUUCUUGGUCAAGGAGACUUUAUAAGGCACUUAAUGGACUUGCUAAAACCAGAACUUGUCCGUCCAGCUACGACUUUGUAUCAGCAUAACUUGACUGGAAUUCUAGAAACCGCUGUCAGAGCCACCAACGCACAGUUUGACAGUCCUGAGAUCCUGCGAAGGCUGGACGUACGGCUGCUGGAGGUCUCUCCAGGUGACACUGGAUGGGAUGUCUUCAGCCUCGAUUAUCAUGUUGACGGACCAAUUGCAACUGUGUUUACUCGAGAAUGUAUGAGCCACUACCUACGAGUAUUUAACUUCCUCUGGAGGGCGAAGCGGAUGGAAUACAUCCUCACCGACAUACGGAAGGGACACAUGUGCAAUGCAAAGCUCCUGAGAAACAUGCCAGAGUUCUCCGGGGUGCUGCACCAGUGUCACAUUUUGGCCUCUGAGAUGGUCCAUUUCAUUCAUCAGAUGCAGUAUUACAUCACAUUUGAGGUGCUUGAAUGUUCUUGGGAUGAGCUUUGGAACAAAGUCCAGCAGGCCCAGGAUUUGGAUCACAUCAUUGCUGCACAUGAGGUGUUCUUAGACACCAUCAUCUCCCGCUGCCUGCUGGACGGCGACUCGAGGGCACUUUUAAAUCAACUUAGAGCUGUGUUUGAUCAAAUUAUUGAACUUCAGAAUGCUCAAGAUGCAAUAUACAGAGCUGCUCUGGAAGAAUUGCAGAGACGAUUACAGUUUGAAGAGAAAAAGAAACAGCGUGAAAUUGAGGUUGAGAUGUGCCUAUACUGCGUUUGAAGUCCCAAGAAAUCACUGACAGUUGUAAAGAGGGAGGGGCCACCCUCACUGGCAUCAUCCUGUUUCACAAAAUAAAUAAAAACAGCAGCAUUCAUAAGAAUUACAAGUCUCCUGCCCGUUUUCAUUACUAAGUGCCACAAUGCCGACAUCACCUGUCGGAAUCUCCACAGCUGCCUCCACUCUGCAUCGCUCUGGUGUUUGAAGCUUGUGGAUCAUGCACCACGCUGCAUCUUGCAAACGUGUGCAUCUACAGAUGCUCCUCAACUUAUAGCAGUCUUAUGUCCCAAUAAGCACGUUAUACAUUGAAAGUGCAUUUAAUACAGUUGGAGCAUCCCUAAUCUGAAAUACGAAAUAUGAAAUGCUCCUAAACCUGAAACUUUUUCAUCACUGACAUGACGUCACAAGUGGGAAAUUCCACACCUGACUCCUUUGCUUUCUGAUGGCUUAUUGUACACAAACUUUGUUUCCUGCAGAAAAUUAUAAAAAAUAUAUAAAGUUACCUUCAGGCUACUAUGUAUUUAAGGGCCACUGGGGAGUGACGGCAGCAGAGGAAGAGGAGGAAAAUAAGAGGAUUGGAGAAUUUAAAGAAUCUAUACCAAAAAUGUGCUCACAGUUGCGAAUAUUGACCCAUUUCUACCAGGGUAUCGUGCAGCAGUUUUUGGUGUUACUGACGACCAGCUCUGACGAGAGUCUUCGGUUUCUUAGCUUCAGGCUGGACUUUAACGAGCAUUACAAAGCCAGGGAGCCCAGGCUCCGCGUGUCUCUGGGUACCAGGGGGCGGCGCAGCUCCCACACGUGAAGCUCGCUGUCCUCCCAGGGAGCUGCGGGUGAUGUUUGUUGCACUGCUAGACACGAAAUUCCCAUCGACGUCCUCCAGGAACUGCAUGCUGCAGGUGUCCUGCCCUUCCGCCCACGAGUGCGCCAUGUUUCAGUGGAGCGGCGUGUGGGAGAAGUCACGUCGUGUUUCACACAUUGGAGUCAAAUGCAUUUGUAAAUCACUGAGUCAAGUAGGCAGGCUGCACUGUUCACAUUUGUCUCUAAAAAGUCUUCGUCGCCAAAAGAUACCAUAAUUUGCUGAGGCUUCUUAAGCUUUCUGUUAUAAUUUAUAUUUGUCACUUUAAAAAAUCCAUUUCUUUUAGAAAAAAUUAGGGUGAGAGGAUAUUCAUUAGUUAAGAUGGUAACGUCAUUGCUAUUUUUUUAACAUCCUUUUUAGAGAUAAUUUUUGUUAACCAAAAAUUAAAUUGAAACAAAAUGUCCCAACUAAGAAAAUAUAUAGAGCAUUUUAUUUUUUUUUAGUGUUGUAAAAUAUUAACCUCUGUGAGAUCCUUUGUAUCUUAAUGCAUUACCUUUACACAUAUUUAUUCUUAUUUUCUCUCCUUUCAGAGUCUACAUUUUUAUAUUUAAUUUACGAUUUCAGAUUUUUAAAAUAGUAUAGAAAAAAGUAGGAGUGAUAGAGAACAAAAAUACUCCUAUACAGUGCAACCCGAAUACCGUGAGUGCAUCAGCUAAAGCAGCAUGUAAAUAGGAAUGACGAGAAAGUCAAUGGAGUAUUUUAUUUCCAAAGUUCCUGAUAAGCACUGGAAAGAAAUCGAUAUGGAUAAUGAUUUCCUUUUUCCUUGCCUAUUUUUUCAUUGUAAAUAUUUAUAUACUACUGACCAAGAUGUUGGGGUGGGGGGGAUUGUUUUUUGUAAAAAUGUCAUUAUCAGGUCAUAUAAAUCUGCCUUUAUGUUGCAUAAGUGAAAAUUUAGAAAAUUAAAAGCAAUUAUCUUUCAGAUGCA